GGCAAUGCGCAUGCGGGAGGCACGAGCCCAUUCUCCCGUGACGGUGACUCCAACGGUUGGCUGAGGACGAUUCCCUGAGCCUUGACAAAGCAGGAGCCCUCCGUGGCGGUGCGUCGGUGUCGAGGCUCCAGUCUGACUAAUCCAGGGGGUCGACAAAACAGAUUCGGGACACUAUGCUACACGGAGGGCCUACCAGGAUGCAGAAACAGCAGACGGAGUCCAGGGAAAGCAGUGCGGCAUCCCAGCCUCAGGCCUGCCCGUACGGUGUUCGGAAAUACUAGGCUUUAGAAUUUCACCAUAUGAAUUUUGGGAGAGAGGAGCACAGUUCAGCCCAUAACUAACACACGUGAUGAAGAAGACAUGCCAACAGAGGGUUAAUUCCAGAUAAAAUGAAAUGUUCCAAACAGUACGUUUGGUUAUUUGAUUCAUCUGUGGGGGAAGGAAAGAUAAUUUUCCAAAGGACAUUCCUCCUAAAUUCUGUCUUAAAGUUGUUUACGGAAUGAAGUUGAUAAUAGUGAGACCUUGUUGGUACAAGACUAUGUAACAUAACCUGCGCUUCUCAACAAAGAAUUGCUUUUCUGACUUCUGCACUCAAUAGCAAGACAAAUCUCUCCUCUGCCUUCUCCUUAUCAGACUACUCAACAUGAAGGCAAUAAGAAUGAAGACCUCUAUGUAUAAUAAUUGACUUCCACUUAAUAAAUAGCUAGCUUGGACUUGUUCUGAUGGAAAUAGCAGGAGUCCCAACUACAAGAGUUGCAAUGUCAAGGCCUCAUCUUAUAACUGGCACAUAGGUCACUUCCACCAUAUUCUUUUUGCUAACGAAAGUCACAAAGUCAGUCCAUGUUCAAGUAGAGGGGAAACUGACUCCACCACUUGAUGUGAAGAGUUGGAAUAUCAUAGUUAUUGUUUCUUGUGACUUGCCAUAGCGUAUUUUCUCACACUAACAACUCUGUAUUUCUUCCCAAAUUCUGAAAAAUUCUUUUGUUGGCUCUUCCUGUACUUGAUUCAUUACAUUAAGUUUUCCAUUUAAAUGUUAUUUCCUUGGAAAGACUUUAUCAUUUGUCAAGUAGGUGUAUUCUCUUCAUCAGUUACUCUAUUUUCUCAUUACAAUAUGAACUUUGUAAAAAUGGGAACUUUACUUUGUUUAUGCCAGUAGUUUAUAUACAUUUUCUGUUACGUGAAAAGUACAAAAUGUUUUUUUCAUGGUUAAAGAAAUAAAAGAAUAAAUAUGUAA
ensembl:lncRNA MIR663AHG MIR663A host gene